UACGUAGGGUGCAAGCCUUAUCCGGAGUGACUGGGCGUAAAGAGUUGCGUAGGUGGUUUAAUAAGUGAAUAGUGAAACCUGGUGGCUCAACCAUACAGACUAUUAUUCAAACUGUUAAACUCGAGAGUAGCAGAGGUAACUGGAAUUUCUUGUGUAGGAGUGAAAUCCGUAGAUAUAAGAAGGAACACCAAUGGCGUAGGCAGGUUACUGGGCUAUUUCUGACACUAAGGCACGAAAGCGUGGGGAGCGAACCGG
rnacentral:rRNA from 1 species